GGGUUGUGAGGUUAAGCGACUAAGCGUACACGGUGGAUGCCCUGGCAGUCAGAGGCGAUGAAGGACGUGCUAAUCUGCGAAAAGCGUCGGUAAGGUGAUAUGAACCGUUAUAACCGGCGAUGUCCGAAUGGGGAAACCCAGUGCAAUUCGUUGCACUAUCGUUAACUGAAUACAUAGGUUAACGAGGCGAACCGGGGGAACUGAAACAUCUAAGUACCCCGAGGAAAAGAAAUCAACCGAGAUUCCCCCAGUAGCGGCGAGCGAACGGGGAGCAGCCCAGAGUCUGAAUCAGCUUGUGU
rnacentral:rRNA from 1 species